GACGAACGCUAGCGGGAGGCUUAACACAUGCAAGUCGAGGGGUAUAGUAGCAAUACUAGAGACCGGCGGACGGGUGCGUAACGCGUAUGCAACUUGCCUUAUACAGGGGGAUAGCCCGUGGAAACGCGGAUUAAUACCCCAUAUGUCAUUUGGGUCGCAUGGUCUGGAUGAUAAAGCUGAGGUGGUAUAAGAUGGGCAUGCGUCUGAUUAGCUGGUUGGUAGGGUAACGGCCUACCAAGGCGACGAUCAGUAGGGGUUCUGAGAGGAUAAUCCCCCACACUGGUACUGAGACACGGACCAGACUCCUACGGGAGGCAGCAGUGAGGAAUAUUGGUCAAUGGGCGAGAGCCUGAACCAGCCAUUCCGCGUGAGUGAAGAAGGCCUUCGGGUUGUAAAGCUCUUUCGCAAGGGAAGAAAACUUAGCCACUAACAUUGGCUGAGGUUGACGGUACCUUGAUAAGAAGCACCGGCUAACUACGUGCCAGCAGCCGCGGUAAAAC
rnacentral:rRNA from 1 species